CACGUAGGGCGCAAGCGUUGUCCGGAUUUAUUGGGCGUAAAGAGCGUGUAGGCGGCUAGGUAGGUCCGUUGUGAAAACUCGAGGCUCAACCUCGAGACGUCGAUGGAAACCAUCUAGCUAGAGUCCGGAAGAGGAGAGUGGAAUUCCUGGUGUAGCGGUGAAAUGCGCAGAUAUCAGGAAGAACACCCGUGGCGAAGGCGGCCCUCUGGUACGUGACUGACGCUGAGACGCGAAAGCGUGGGGAGCAAACAGG
rnacentral:rRNA from 1 species